rnacentral:rRNA from 1 species
GACGUAGGGCGCGAGCGUUGUCCGGAUUUAUUGGGCGUAAAGAGCUCGUAGGCGGCUUGUUGCGUCGACUGUGAAAACCCGCGGCUUAACUGCGGGCUUGCAGUUGAUACGGGCAGGCUAGAGUUCGGUAGGGGAGACUGGAAUUCCUGGUGUAGCGGUGAAAUGCGCAGAUAUCAGGAGGAACACCGGUGGCGAAGGCGGAUCUCUGGGCCGUAACUGACGCUGAGGAGCGAAAGCAUGGGGAGCGAACAGG